rnacentral:snoRNA from 1 species
GUUCUCUGAAUGAUGAUAGACACCGGUAAUGCAUAGUUCAACUGACUUUUAGAUUGAAGAUAUAAAUACCAUCGAAUUUAGUCUUUCGCUCCUAUCUGACCAGAGAAA